AUUGAACGCUGGCGGCAUGCUUUACACAUGCAAGUCGAACGGCAGCGGGGGCUUCGGCCUGCCGGCGAGUGGCGAACGGGCGAGUAAUGCAUCGGAACGUGCCCAAGUCGUGGGGGAUAACGUAUCGAAAGGUACGCUAAUACCGCAUACGUCCUGAGGGAGAAAGCGGGGGAUCUUCGGACCUCGCGCGAUUGGAGCGGCCGAUGUCGGAUUAGCUAGUAGGUGAGGUAAAGGCUCACCUAGGCGACGAUCCGUAGCGGGUCUGAGAGGAUGAUCCGCCACACUGGGACUGAGACACGGCCCAGACUCCUACGGGAGGCAGCAGUGGGGAAUUUUGGACAAUGGGCGCAAGCCUGAUCCAGCCAUGCCGCGUGAGUGAAGAAGGCCUCGG
rnacentral:rRNA from 1 species